CGUUUGUGGAGAGAUGAAAGAACGAGAAGAAUUCGCUUCACGGUUGAAUGUGUAAUAAUUUAAAGCACUUAAACUAAGGAACUACUAUAUAGGAAAUGUAAUCCACGAAAACAGCAUCUCCUUUUGCUUUACACUUUCGAACCCGCUAAUAAAUUAUAUUUACUAACUCUCUCUCUCUCUUCUUCGUAAGACAUUCAAACAGGGGCUCCAACUCCUCUCACUCUUCUUACAUCACAGAACGUACCUACACUCUCUCUUACACCAUCCGUCUACUAUGGCCAAUUACAUUUGGACAUCCUGCUAUUACACAAAGUGUUGUGUUAUUAACUUAUUGCAAUUUUAUUCUAUGUAUUCAGUAUUUGUAUCAUACAGAUGAAAAUGAUGUUGACGCCGUCGAAAAAAAGAAGGAGUUGUUCAAAACAUUCACAUUAUUAUAAUAUAAAUAAUUAAAAAGUUAUUUGUUUAUUUUCGUGGUCUUGGAUGAGUUUUAGAAAUAUGGAAAUGCCCUAGGUGAUUAACAUUUGAAUCUGACUGAGAACUAUGCAUAAUACUCAAAGAUGAUGAUUGAUGAUGUCAAUAGAGGUGAAGACUUGCAAUUUGACUUGUCCUCAUAAUCAAAGGUUCACGACACGACUUGGACUCGAAAGCUAGUAUAAAUGAAAAAAAUAGCACUAUGAAUACGAAAAAAAGAAUAAUAUACUACAAUUAUGGACUUGAAAUUAACUUAAAAUAAAUCUCUGACCCGAAAAUAAAUAAAUUUAUUUGCUGUUGCUCAGUAUCAUUACUCUGUGGAUUUUAUCUAUAUGAUCGACGGGGAUUUUGGGAUUCGUAAGAUGUAUGACGUCAUUGACUAUUCCUCAGAUAGAUAUACUUAUAGAAAAUCGGAAAUACUACUAACUUAGAAGUACCAAUGUAUAUACUUUUAAUAGUACCUACUAUACUAUGAUAAUUGAUUACAGAUAGUUGUAUGAAAGUAAAGGACAUUGUAGCAAAUGGUUUUUAAAAGUUGGAGUUAUAGGGAAAUCGCCUUAUUAUUAUUAAAUAAAUAUAUAUAUAUAUGAAUCAUUUGCACAUACCUUUUCAGAUAUCCAUGACAACUAUCAAAGUUCUACGAACUAAUUAAUCAUUGAAUAGAUCCUUCUUCACGCUACUUUACUCACAUGAUACACUUUAUGAUAUUAUAUUGUUUUAAUAGAAGGGUAUUUAAAGGAGACAAAGUCUUGUGGAUAAAAGGUCUCAAGACUACUACUAACAACUCUCAUUGUCUUUUCUUUAUUUUAUAAAAAAACUUGGACUCGAGACUAGCAAAUCGACUUGAUCACACAAUUUAAAAAUCGAUACAUGACUUGGACCCGUAAUUCGUUUGAUUUUAUUCACUGGAUAUAAGGUACUCUUUAUUGUAUCUUAUUUUCUGAGGAUUUGAAGUGAACUCGGUGAAAAUAUUCAAGGACUUGGAUAUGUGAGCAAAACUUGAGGCUCGACUUGGACUUGCUAUCUCUUCUCUAACUUUAUUACCUACAUACAUUGAUGGAAUGAAGCCUGCUCAAAAUAAAAUCAUAUUCUUAAUCGUAGAUUCAAAAUUAAGAUAUACAUCAAUAUUAACAAAGUAUGUAGGUGUAUACGUACAUCGAAACUAUACAAGCGCCGCUAUUCUGCGAUAAUUAAAACACCCUUUAUUUGGACAAUGCAUAUGUUAUUAGCGCUCAAAGAAUUUUAACCGUAAAUGUUAAAAAUUCAAAAUACAAAUUGCAUUCAAUAUUAUAUACUCGUAUGUAUCUAAAAGAUGAUAAUAGCAUAAAAUAAGUCAUCACUA
rnacentral:lncRNA from 1 species